UACGAAGGGGGCUAGCGUUGUUCGGAAUUACUGGGCGUAAAGCGCGCGCAGGCGGCUAUCCAAGUCAGUGGUGAAAGCCCGGAGCUCAACUCCGGAACUGCCAUUGAAACUGUUUAGCUUGAGGAUGAGAGAGGUGAGUGGAAUUCCCAGUGUAGAGGUGAAAUUCGUAGAUAUUGGGAAGAACACCGGUGGCGAAGGCGGCUCACUGGCUCAUUACUGACGCUCGGAGCGUAGCGUGGGGAUCAAACAGG
rnacentral:rRNA from 1 species